rnacentral:lncRNA from 1 species
GCGCGCCUGACCAGGCUGACUGGAAACGGUAGCUCUUAACGGUUCCCCGCCCGUCGGUGGCAAGGCGGCUGGACUAGAAUCCCAGCAGACGACAUGCGAGGAGGCGGGCAACCCAGGAGUGUUGGGCAGAGCAGUGUGGACCUCGCCGCUUCCACAGCGAUGCUGGCUACUGAUCGCGGGCACCUCCUUGCCAUAGGAAGUUUGUGCUGUGCACUAACAUGUAAUUCAAAUACUGAUGAAAACAAAACUGGUGCCUUCCUACCAAGUGGGAAAUUAAUGUUAUGA